GUCGGGCUGGCUUGGUCCCUGUCAUGGCGGAGGUCGGGGGGGCCGCAGGGCCCCCAGUGUGUGUCUCCAGACUGGAAGAAGGGAGGGUGAGAUGGGAACCUCAGAGAAACAAACACCAGAGUUACGAACUGACCAGUCAACCACAAACCUCAUUUGAAUUGGAAGUAUGCAAUCAGGCAGCAGAGGCAAAAAAAACCAAAUACUGUACAGCACAGUACUUUGUUAAAUGUAAACUACUAAAAAAAGUUGUUUUAAAAGAAAACGGACAAGGCAAGAAAACUGAAAGAGAAAUUGUGACAAGUCUAUGAAGAAGCUGCAAACUGAACCUAGAUCUCCUGACCACCUUGUCCUGUGCCUUUACCAAGGCAGGACCCUGUUUUUGUGAUAGAUGUAGCUGUUUUCUGCAUAGAGUGCUUAAAAAUAUAAGAAGUCAGUUAGCCUGCCUGUCAGGCUGCUGGUGGUAGCGCUUUGAGGAGAUUGAAAAUGGAGGAUCUUGCAGAAGAAAAAACAUGUUGACUUCUCUUUUGUGGAGACUUUAUAUUUGUUGUUUCCCUUACUCUAAAUAAAAGUAUACAUUUUAUUCUCUGUC